rnacentral:rRNA from 1 species
AUUGAACGCUGGCGGCAGGCCUAACACAUGCAAGUCGAGCGGAUGAAGGGAGCUUGCUCCUGGAUUCAGCGGCGGACGGGCGAGUAAUGCCUAGGAAUCUGCCUGGUAGUGGGGGAUAACGUCCGGAAACGGGCGCUAAUACCGCAUACGUCCUGAGGGAGAAAGUGGGGGAUCUUCGGACCUCACGCUAUCAGAUGAGCCUAGGUUGGAUUAGCUAGUUGGUGGGGUAAAGGCCUACCAAGGCGACGAUCCGUAACUGGUCUGAGAGGAUGAUCAGUCACACUGGAACUGAGACACGGUCCAGACUCCUACGGGAGGCAGCAGUGGGGAAUAUUGGACAAUGGGCGAAAGCCUGAUCCAGCCAUGCCGCGUGUGUGAAGAAGGUCUUCGGAUUGUAAAGCACUUUUAGUUGGGAGGAAGAGCAGUAAGUUAAUACCUUGCUGUUUUGACGUUACCAACAGAAUAAGCACCGGCUAACUUCGUG